UACGUAGGGGGCCAGCGUUGUCCGGAAUCACUGGGCGUAAAGCGCACGUAGGCGGCUUUUUAAGUCAGGGGUGAAAUCCUGGAGCUCAACUCCAGAACUGCCUUUGAUACUGAGAAGCUUGAGUCCGGGAGAGGUGAGUGGAACUGCGAGUGUAGAGGUGAAAUUCGUAGAUAUUCGCAAGAACACCAGUGGCGAAGGCGGCUCACUGGCCCGGUACUGACGCUGAGGUGUGAAAGCGUGGGGAGCAAACAGG
rnacentral:rRNA from 1 species